CGGUCCGGCCGGGAACUCAAAGGAGACUGCCAGUGAUAAACUGGAGGAAGGUGGGGAUGACGUCAAGUCAUCAUGGCCCUUACGACCAGGGCUACACACGUGCUACAAUGGCGCAUACAAAGAGAAGCGACCUCGCGAGAGCAAGCGGACCUCAUAAAGUGCGUCGUAGUCCGGAUUGGAGUCUGCAACUCGACUCCAUGAAGUCGGAAUCGCUAGUAAUCGUGGAUCAGAAUGCCACGGUGAAUACGUUCCCGGGCCUUGUACACACCGCCCGUCACACCAUGGGAGUGGGUUGCAAAAGAAGUAGGUAGCUUAACCUUCGGGAGGGCGCUUACCACUUUGUGAUUCAUGACUGGGGUGAAGUCGUAACAAGGUAACCGUAGGGGAACCUGCGGUUGGA
rnacentral:rRNA from 1 species